AGAAAGGGAGCUCCGGCUUGAAACACAGUUUUAGGAUCAUGCCAUGAGGGAAAUAAUAUUGGAGUGGGAAUUAGAAUCUGUAUGCAAAAUUUAGGAGUGGCAAUAAGAAGAGAGCUCUAUCGAACGAAUGACUUUGCGGAUGCUGAGAUACCAAAUCCAAGAGCAUUGAGCAUUUUAAGUGGAACAUCUUUUAUGGAAGAAAAAGAUGCAUCC